CAAGCAGCAGGGCAGCAAACCUGUGCCAGCCUGCAAUGUGAAGCCCUAAAGCUUUGGCAUCUCUGCUGGGCUCUGAGCCAGGUGCCUGGCAGGGCCCCAAGAACUACUUUCAGCAAAUCUUCAGGCAACGCCGAAGGUGGUGAGAAGCAGGAGGCAGAGCGAGAAGGCAGGAAUGGAGGGGCCCCCUAGAGGCACCAGCUUAAGAGGAAGGUUCACGAGCUCAGGAGGACUUGGGGGAGUGCUGCAAGAUGGUGCGAGAAAUGGAGAAGGAAGACAGAACGGGGAAGAAUGGCUCCUCCGUUGACGGAGAUGCGGAAUGGCUCCAGAGUCAGAGGGCUUCCUGAGUCUUCCGGAGUCUAACUGAAGAUCCGGUUGCAGCAGAAGCCCAUUUCUUUCAGCCUUGCCCACCAUGCCUGCCACCCGACCUCCACCUGUCCCCCGAGUGGGGGGCUCCCUGGCUCUAAGACAGCUCCCACCAGCCAUUUUCUUCUCCAGAGAAAGCAUUUUCAGUUCUUUCAA
rnacentral:lncRNA from 1 species